rnacentral:rRNA from 1 species
CGAUGGUAGCUUGCUACCAGGCGUCGAGCGGCGGACGGGUGAGUAAUACUUAGGAAUCUACCUAGUAGUGGGGGAUAGCACGGGGAAACUCGUAUUAAUACCGCAUACGACCUACGGGAGAAAGGGGGCAGUUUACUGCUCUCGCUAUUAGAUGAGCCUAAGUCGGAUUAGCUAGAUGGUGGGGUAAAGGCCUACCAUGGCGACGAUCUGUAGCUGGUCUGAGAGGAUGAUCAGCCACACCGGGACUGAGACACGGCCCGGACUCCUACGGGAGGCAGCAGUGGGGAAUAUUGGACAAUGGGGGAAACCCUGAUCCAGCCAUGCCGCGUGUGUGAAGAAGGCCUUUUGGUUGUAAAGCACUUUAAGCAGUGAAGAAGACUCUUCGGUUAAUACCCGGAGACGAUGACAUUAGCUGCAGAAUAAGCACCGGCUAACUCUGUGCCAGCAGCCGCGGUAAUACAGAGGGUGCAAGCGUUAAUCGGAAUUACUGGGCGUAAAGCGAGCGUAGGUGGCUUGAUAAGUCAGAUGUGAAAUCCCCGGGCUUAACCUGGGAACUGCAUCUGAAACUGUUAGGCUAGAGUAGGUGAGAGGGAAGUAGAAUUUCAGGUGUAGCGGUGAAAUGCGUAGAGAUCUGAAGGAAUACCGAUGGCGAAGGCAGCUUCCUGGCAUCAUACUGACACUGAGGCUCGAAAGCGUGGGUAGCAAACAGGAUUAGAUACCCUGGUAGUCCACGCCGUAAACGAUGUCUACUAGUCG